rnacentral:rRNA from 1 species
GACGAACGCUGGCGGCAUGCCUAACACAUGCAAGUCGAACGAGACCUUCGGGUCUAGUGGCGCACGGGUGCGUAACGCGUGGGAACCUGCCCUUAGGUUCGGAAUAACUCCCCGAAAGGGGUCCUAAUACCGGUUAAUGUCUUCGGACCAAGGAUGUCUCGCCGUUGGAUGGGCCCGCGUUGGUUUAGCUAGUUGGUAGGGUAAAAGCCUGCCAAGGCGUCGAUCCAUAGCUGGUCUGGGAGGAUGCUCAGCCACACUGGGACUGAGACACGGCCCAGACUCGUACGGGAGGCAGCAGUGGGGAAUAAUGGACAAUGGGCGAAAGUCUGAUCCAGCAAUGCCGCGUGAGUGAUGAAGGGGUUAGGGUUGUAAAUCUCUCUUACCCGGGAUGAUAAUGACAGUACCGGGAGAAGAAGCUCCGGCUAACUCCGUG